rnacentral:pre_miRNA from 1 species
GGAAUUCCGCUAGUUCUGAACUGGUCACCCUUGCGAGAAGUUCACUACUAGCAGAACUCGG